UGCAAUUAGCAACGCUAUACAAAAGGCUGAGCAAGCGGUAACAUAGCUAAACAGUGGUUUGCUGGGUUGUGGAAAGGUUAGAGGUUUUCAUGGCAAUGUUGGGAGGCUGACAUUUAACAUGUGGUAGGCAGCGAGACAUAGCGAAAGAAACGAGACAACUAGCAUGGCAAUGAUAGUAAUGAUAUCUUGGGAAAUGAUCAUCUUG
rnacentral:lncRNA from 1 species